rnacentral:rRNA from 1 species
CGGGAAACUGGGGAUAAUACCCGCUAGAUCUCGAAGGCUGGGAUGCAUCGAGAUUGAAAGCUCCGGCGCCCGAGGAUGGAUCUGCGGCCUAUCAGGUAGUAGUGGGUGUAGCGUACCUACUAGCCUACGACGGGUACGGGUUGUGAGAGCAAGAGCCCGGAGAUGGAUUCUGAGACACGAAUCCAGGCCCUACGGGGUGCAGCAGGCGCGAAAACUUUACAAUGCCGGCAACGGCGAUAAGGGGACCUCGAGUGCCAGGUUACAAAUCUGGCUGUCGAGAUGCCUAAAAAGCAUUUCAUAGCAAGGGCCGGGCAAGACCGGUGCCAGCCGCCGCGGUAACA